GACGGAGGGGGCUAGCGUUGUUCGGAAUUACUGGGCGUAAAGGGCGCGUAGGCAGAUUAGUAAGUUGGGAGUGAAAGCCCGGGGCUUAACCUCGGAACUGCUUUCAAAACUGCUAGUCUUGAGUGAAGUAGGGGAUGAUGGAAUUCCUAGUGUAGAGGUGAAAUUCUUAGAGAUUAGGAGGAACACCGGUGGCGAAGGCGGUCAUCUGGACUUCAACUGACGCUGAGGCGCGAAAGCGUGGGGAGCAAACAGG
rnacentral:rRNA from 1 species